UACAGAGGUGGCAAGCGUUGUUCGGAAUUACUGGGCGUAAAGGGCGCGUAGGCGGCCUUCUAAGUCAGACGUGAAAUCCCCCGGCUUAACCUGGGAACUGCGUCUGAUACUGGGGAGCUUGAGUAUGGGAGAGGGAUGUAGAAUUCCAGGUGUAGCGGUGAAAUGCGUAGAUAUCUGGAGGAAUACCGGUGGCGAAGGCGGCAUCCUGGACCAUAACUGACGCUGAGGCGCGAAAGCUAGGGGAGCAAACGGG
rnacentral:rRNA from 1 species